rnacentral:rRNA from 1 species
AUGAUCAUAAUUGAAGUAUGUGCACUAGUGAUCGUAUCAUUUGGCAACUUACAGAUUCCAGCAGCAGUUGUGCGGGUCAUUCUAGCAUUAAGUGGGCUUAUACUACUACAACAUGGUGGAAGUGAGCCUGCAUACGAUGAACUCUUGGAUGGCCAAAAAAACAUUGGAGCAACUCUAAAACUCUUCUAUGGGAUGGUGCUUGUACAAGGAAUACUCUAUGCCGUGGCCUGCAUGUUUGAGUUCUUUUCUUUCAUCCCUCGAAGAUCCCUCAUCCGCGGUGGUGGAUUUAAAGGUCAGUGGGGAAUGAAAUCUGUCAAUAUGUAUUACGCAUAUGCGUCAGAGAAAUGCAUGCAAGGGGGUGUGCUUGCUCCAAAGAAGAUCAACCUCAGCACCUUUGCCAUGGAUUCUGUGAACUCGGAUUCGUCCAAGAAUCAGCUCGCCGGGAUACGAAUGAUGCACAACUUUCUGCAAAGUCAACCAACCAAGGCACAACUCCUUUCAAAACUCGCCACUUCUACCAAGACGAUGGCCAGAAUAAUCAGAAUGUUGGAUUGGACAAGUCCAAAGGAUACAGCUAUCAGAUUAUAUGCCGCAAAGGUCACUGCAGAGCUUGCAAAGAACCUCCGUGCAGGCACUAUCCCUGGUACAAUGCAGCUUGUAUCUGCACUUCUUGACGCUGAUCGCAGACUGGAAAGAGGAAACCCACUCCUAGACACUGAUGAUGAACACGAACGAAGACAAGAUCCAGUUCUGAAUACAGAAGAUAGCAGAGAGGUGGCUGAUAACCAAUUCCAAACACAAGGUCAACUUCGGGACACUGAUAUCCUGCUGGAAACAGAAAGCAGAUCAACCCAAGAAGUUGGCAUGAACAAACAGAACUCGUGCGUGCUCAGAUGCUGGCAGCAUAUUUCAGAAUUCUGGUCAAUACCCAAGGAACAGCUGCGGACAGACCACGAUCUUCUACCGGCACUGGCCAUGUCAAUUAUUGAAAGUCUUGCUGGUGUUGACCAGGACAACUGUGUGGAGAUCAGCAAAGCAGCUGACCUCGUCCCGAAGAUCAUAAGAUUCACAAUCUGCAGAAGUGACACGAUGAAUACCAAGGCACAACAAGAGAUCCUGCUCAAAUCAUCACUGAAGGUGCUGCAAAGGCUCACAAGCAUUGGCGGGGAAACCGGCAUCACACUGCGGUACAAGAUAUCAAAACACCCCUUCCUAUUGAGUAACCUCUCAGGUAUCCUUGGAGACGACAAGAGCAGCCAGAUAUCGAGAAAGUUGGUGGCGGGAAUCCUCAGAAACAUUGCCGUUGAUGAGAAAACAAGGCAGGAAAUUGGUCGCUUCCAAAUGAUCAUCACCAAGCUGAUGCAGGCAUUUCUCUACUCAGAAGGAACCAUGAGUACCAAUGAUGAUCACCUGUCACGGAAGGUCGCCGGGCAAGCAUUGGCAAUGCUGACAAUACAAAGUGCUCAAAACUGCUUGGUUAUAUUGAAGGAGCCAUGGUUCAUGAAGGAACUCAAAAUCUUGAUCCAUGAUAAAAGGUACAUAUAUGUGGCGGCAAGCCUGCUGCGUAAUCUGUGCCUGCAUGCUAGAUCCGAGCUCAGAGAGUCAGACCUGAAGGAACUAUCUCAUACCUUGAGAGAGGUGUUGGAAAGAAUACUGGACGCGGAUGGGGCAGAACUAGAGAUCCUGAUUGGGCUUAGUUCACAGAUAUGUAAAGUUAUUCCUGAAGACUUUACCCGAGAACUAGACGCUGGUCAGAUUAAGCAGAGAUUUGCCAAGAGGCUUGUCGACACACUAAAAGCAAACAUGAAACCUAGUGCUCAUUGUCCUGGGAUCAGGAGAGCGGUACUCGAGCAAGUCAUACACUUGAUGGAGUAUAAUUCUCGCUAUGCAGAUUGCUUCAACGCAUUCGGGAUGACAGAUGCACUGUCAAUGGUAGAACAAACACCGUCAAAGGCUGAAAACUACAGGCUUUUCUUGGGCGAUGAAGGAUUCAUGGAGUACAGCAUGCCUCUCUCCGAUCUUGUGGCCAGGGCAAAAGAACUUAUGGGCUGUGACUGA